ACAUAUGGCCCUCAUUCUUGUUUUCUAAUACUAUUCCCUACUGAGAGGAAACAGGGAUCUUUGGAGAAAUGGUCAGUCUCCAGACACGGGGAACAGAAGGUGUAAGAUGAGCCUGGAACAUCUCAAAGUUACCAAAGGCAAGGAAAUAUUACAAAAAAAAAAAAAAAAAAAAAAUUAUGGGCAUGUCAAAAGAACCCAGAAGCUAGUUUGAAGAGGCUGUGCUGCUGGCCAAAUUUAGGGCUAUUUGAGCAUCAAAAUAACUAAGGACAGUAGUGAACCAUUGAAGAAAUAGGAAACCAUGAGUCCACACUACUGUUAGAUCGGUAGAUAAAAAGGAGAAAGGAAGGACUUUUCUGUAUAGUAGGUUGCUGAUUAAUAAAUGUGGAGUGAGCCCAAGUAGAGAAUUAUUGCAGUAUUCAUAGUAAAGACUGAUUGGGCAAGAGUCAUCAAUAGGUGGUCAAAACUAACAUAGCCUAUGAAAAGGAUACAGUAUCGCUAUGGAGUAUUUUGGCCAGGGAUGCAUGGCCUGAAUAUAAUUAUAAGGAAAUAUUAGACAAAGCCAAAAUCAGCAACAUGUUGUUAAGAAAUUGUGAAAACUGGCCUGUAUUCUUUUUUUUUUUUUUUAAGUUUAUUUUUUUAUUUUGAGAGAGAAAGAGAGCACAAGCAGGGAGGGGAAGAGAGAGAGGGAGAGAGAGAAUCCCAAGCAGGCUCCACACUGUCAGUGUGGCUCCCGAUGCAGAGCUUGAACUCAUGAACCAUGAGAUCGCAACCUGAGCCGAGGUCAAGAGCCAGACGCUUAGCUGAUUGAGCCACCCAGGUGCCCAGCUAGCCUGUAUUCUUUUUAAAAAAGUCAAUGUUGUGAAAGGCAAGAAGGACUAAGGGAAUAUUUUAGAUUAAAAUAGUUUAAAAAGAUAUAUGACAGUUAAAGAAAUAUUUGAUCCAGCUUAGAAUUAUCUUGGAAGGGGGGAGAGAGGGGGGAUUCUUGGGUAUUAAGAAAACUGUACAGUUGUACUAUGGUAGAUUAUAUAAAAAUAUUGUAUCACUGUAUCAGUAUUAAAUGUGGUAACUGUUUUGCCAUUAUGUAAGAAAAUAUCCCUAUUUUAAAUGCACAUUGAAAUAUUAAGGGAUAAAGUGGCUAAGGCAUCCAUUUUAUGUAAUAAAUUAACUCCUGCGCAUGUAGAAUGGUACUAGCCAUGUAGCAUCCUUGGCAGAGUUGAGAAAAUAAUUAUUUAAAUUACUUUUUAUAGCACUUAACUCUCUAGCAGAGUACUGGCUGUAAAAAGCUUAUAUAAAGACAAUGGAGAAGUAGGAGUCCUCUGCUACUACGUAGCAUAUAGUAAUUGGCUGAUCCUCACUUUCAUUGCAACAACUACAUGUAUAAAUUGCAGAGAAAAAAAUCAUACUAGUAAAGACAUUAGGAAGACUUCUGGUUUCAGCUCCAGCACAUAAGGACCCUGGAAGUCAUCACUGCUACCCUUACAGUAAGAGAAAGGUGAACAAACUGAAAAUCACUGCUUUUCCAUGGUCCCAUCAAAGAAUUAAGGCUAUAGGACAAAUUGCCACCCUGAAAUACGGAGAGAAAAGCAACUUCAGAGAGCUACAGCCAAGAUGUGCUCUCCUAGAGCAGAAGCCACAGUAACCAUUAACUAAACUGUUAGGAACACUUACAUGGUAACUUGGAUGAAUUAUUUGAGGCUGAGUGUGGAUUACCUUGAGAUUAAAAAACUCCUAGGUAUUCCUGUCUUAAAAGUCCUCCCGCAACACUUUCAUGGGCUUUACUUCUACGACCCCACAAGGUUCUCAUAAUGAAGAGCUAAGAAGAAUCCUUAGUGGCUUAAGUAUGGAAAGGGAAGAGAUAAAUUUUAUGAAAUGAGUUCAGAGCAUUGUCUGUAACACAGCUUUUUCUUCCAGUGGAAAGACUUCAGUAAAGUCUUACUUUGCCUGGGAGAAAAGCAUUUUCCCACUGCUGCCCCCCUAUAGAGGCAAUGAGUGUAGAAAAUAAGAAACACUUGUUUAAGUAGACCCACUAAAAGACGAUUUAAUUGUAAGAAUAUAGUACAUUAUGCUACUGUAGUAGGUAGGCUUCCUUUUGUUCUUUUUUCUUUAAAAAAAUUUUUUUUAAUGUUUUAUUUAUAUUUGAGACUGAGAGGGACAGAGCAUGAGCAGGGGAGGGGCAGAGAGAGAGGGAGACACAGAAUCCAAAGCAGGCUGUCAUCAGAGAGUCCAGCGCGGGGUUGGAACCCACAAACCGUGAGAUCAUGACCUGAGCCAAAGUUGGGUGCUUAACUGACUGAGUGACCCAAGCACCACCCCCCCUUUUUUUUUUUAAAGUAGGCUCCAUGCCCAACAUGGGGCAUGAACUCAUGACCCUGAUCAAGAGUCACAGGCUCUACUGACUGAGCCAGCCAGGCACCCCUUGUAUGCUUCCUUUUCCUCACACUUUACCACCAUACCAACAAGUUUCUGGUACUAUAACAGUAGGGUACAGCUGCAAAGCAUAGACUUUCUCUGAGGAGGAGUGCUUAAGAAGUCAAAAAUUAACAGGGAGACAAAGACACUAGAGGAAUUUUGAGGCCUCCGGCACCUACAACUAUAUUAGCCAUUAAACACCGCCCACGCUUAGCCAGAUUAACGUAAUGCUUCACAGUAAAAUUCUCUUUACAUCAGAGCACCUGGCUGGCUCAGAUGGAGGGGCAUGCAGCUGUUGAUCUCCAGGUUGUGAGUUCAAGCCCUAUGUUGGGUAUAGAUUACUGGAAAAAAAAAAAAACAACAAAAAACCACACAUUCUGUUUACCUCCAGUCCUAUUACCUGAUACAUCAUAUCCAGCUUUCAACAAAAAUUACAAGGCAUGCUAGGAAAAACACACUCUGACAAGACAAGGAAACCAUCAGAACCAGGCUCACAGGGGUGCCAAGAUGGCUCAGUCAGUUAAGCAUCCGACUUGGGCUCAGGUCAUGAUCUCACAGUUUGUGAGUUCAAGCCCUGCAUCAGGCUGUGUGCUGACAGCUUGGAGCCUGGAGCCUGCUUCACAUUCUGUGUGUUCCUCUCUCUCUCCCCCACUCAUGCUUCUCUCUCUCUCAAAAAUAAACAUCAAAAAUUUUUUUUUAAUAUUAAAAAAAAAAGAACCAGGCUCAAAUAUGACAAAGAUACUGAAAUUCUCUUAAAUAAGUAUGAUUAAUAUGUUAAAGUCUUUAAUAGAUUUAAGUAGAAAACAGGUAAGACUAUAUGGGUAAUGUAAGCAGAGAAAUGUAAACUUUUAAGAAUCAAAAGUAAAUGCUAGAAAUCAAAAACACUGUAACCUAAAUGAAGCAUUCAUUUCAUGGCCUCAUCUAUAGACUGGACAUGGCUGAGGAAAGAAUCAGCAAGCUUGGGUAAGUCAAACUGAAGCUUUGCAAACUGAAAUGCAAAGAGAAAAAUGAAUGAAAAAACAGAAUAGCACAUUCAAGAACCUUGGGGUAAUUUCAGAAGGUCUCUCAGAUAUGUAGUUGGAACAAGGAAGAGAAAAAGAAUGGAGCAAAAAAAUAUUUGAAGUAAUAAUACAUGAGAAUUUUAUAAAGUUAAUGACCAGCACCAAACCAUAUAUCCAGAAAACUCAAGCAGGAGAACAUCAAGCAGGAUAAAUACCUAAAAAACAACAGAAGUAACAAAAAAUAAAAUACUUAGGUAUAACAUAUUCAAACUGCAGAAGACCAAAGACAGAAAAUCUUGAGGAAAGGCAGAGGAAAAACAAAAAUAAAAACAAAAACUCUUACCUAUAGAACAACAAGUAUAAGAAUUGCAGCUGACUUCUCAUCAGAAACCAUGUAAGCAGAGAGUAGAAUGAAAUAUUCAAAGUGUUGAAAGAAAAAAAAAAAACAA